rnacentral:rRNA from 1 species
UUGAUUACGUCCCUGCCCUUUGUACACACCGCCCGUCGCUGCCCGGAACUGAGUUGAUUCGAGAAAAGCGGAGAUUGAGGCUUUGUGCUUUUUCGGAAGUGCAUUGUUACGAGAACCGCGUUAAUCGAAACGGCUUGAACCGGGCAGAAGCCGUAACAAGGUUUCCGUAGUGAACCUGCGGAAGGAUCAUUAU